UUAAAAGACUUAUAUUUAAGUACGGAGGGAGUAGUAGGCGGUAAACAUCAUAGCAGGCUAGCAGCACAUAGUUUAAAUUUUUGAUAAACAAAAAGGUGGCACAUGGUUUUAGUUAAUCCUGUGGGUGAUUGGCAGUGGCGGACUUGCAGGGUGGCCAGGGUGGGGGCUCACCCUGGGAUUUUACACCCAGUCGGCCUACUAGGCCUGUGGCCCGGCCCGAAUCGCCAGGCGUCCGAUUACCAGACGCGAGCUGCCGAACCGACCCCGAUUCCCGAGUGUUGCGGUUCCCCGUUCCCUGCCGCCGCCGCCGGCUCGCCGCGACGCCGCCCGCCGCUCCGCGCCUCCGCCAGUCCGACUCGGCGCACCCCGACCCGGCCACCGGCCCGUGGCGCCGUUGUCCGCCCCUGCUCCAGCCUCCAGGCUCCGACGACCGACGCAGAGGACGCCGCAGGCUGCAGCCGACGCCCGACGCGGGGAGCUCCAGGAUGCCGCUGCGCAGCCGACGCCCGACGGGGGGUGCACCCCUGCCGCCCUGCGCUGUGCAGUCUGCACUCUGCUGCUCUGCUUCUUCUGUUUUAGCCUUUUAGAUUUGUUGUAAAAUGAAGAGGGGUGGAGACAUUGUUUCUUUUUUCCAGAAAGAAGCUAUGAGGAUAGGGAAGAAAAAGAAAGCGGGGAAUAUGCCGGAUGUGGCCGAAGAGCAAACUGGAGAACUUUGUGUGUGCCAGUUGUGAUCGAACAACAAACUGAAGAACCAACAUUGUCUAUGUCUAGUGUGACCAUAGGGAAAACUGAAGAUGUGUCACCUGCAUUACCACCGGUUUAUGAUUUCAGUCGUCUUAAACAUGAUCCCGGAGAAAGGAUAUCCAUUGCAAGUUAUCCUGUUAAUGAUCAAGACGCAGUUCGAAGAGCAUAUAUCCUUAAAAAGCCAUUCAAACCUUAUGCACAUGACUUUGAAAAAAGAUCAAUUGGGAGUAGAGAACGUUGGUUCAAUCCUUUGUGGCUUCAUAACCAUAGUUGGCUUGAAUAUAGUAUCAUGAAAGAAUCUGCAUUUUGCUUUGUGUUACCUGUUCAAAGAGAAGAAAACUAGUGGUAAGGGAACUAGUGCAUUUAUUGAUGGUGGUUGGAGGAAUUGGAAUAGAGAGGAUGCUCUUCUUAAGCAUGUUGGUUGUGUAACAAGUGUGCACAAUGCAACUCAAGAGAGAUAUAACUUAUUUGUGAA